CGGCCGAGGGGCAAGGGGAGCCCAGCGCAGGGGCGCCCGCCCGGUGGGCGAUCUGCGAGCCGGGCCCCGCCGGGCGGCCGGGAGAGAUCGAAACCUGCGUGGCCUCCAAAGAACAUGGCCGCCCCAGCCCCAGCGCCUCCCCGGCAGCUGGUGGUCCACUCGGACACGCACAGCGACACUGUCCUGGCCAGUUUUGAGGAUCAGAGGAAAAAGGGCUUCCUCUGUGACAUCACCUUGAUUGUGGAGAACGUGCACUUCCGAGCCCACAAGGCCUUGCUGGCCGCCAGCAGCGAGUAUUUCUCCAUGAUGUUUGCAGAAGAAGGGGAGAUCGGCCAGUCCAUUUACAUGCUGGAAGGCAUGGUGGCGGACACCUUCGGCAUCCUGCUGGAGUUCAUCUACACCGGCUGUCUGCACGCCAGCGAGAAGAGCACGGAGCAGAUCCUGGCGACGGCGCAGUUCUUAAAAGUCUCCGACCUGGUCAAGGCUUACACGGACUUCCAGAACGAUCCCAGGUCCCCGAAGCCCACGCCUCUGGCCACUGCCGGUGCCCCGGUGGUGGUGAUUUCUAACAAGAAGAACGAGCCUCCAAAGCGAAAGCGGGGAAGACCAAGAAAAGUCAACAGCGUGCCCGAGGGGACGGCAGCCUUGGCUGCAGAGGGGGAGGUACAGCUAAGACUGCACGGCCCGGCUCAGGACGGACAAAACUCUGUGGUCACAGAGGGAGCCCCGGGUGGUGUCCUGGGCGAGCAGGCUCCAACAAAAGGAAAGGAAGGGUCGGCACCUGCCUGUGAGCCGGGCAGCGUGGAGGAAACACCAGCCAGGAAGGAUGAGAGCUCUGAUCCCAAGAGCCAGGAGGAGCAGGACAGCCAGAGUCGCUACAGCAAGCGCAGGAUUCGCAGAUCCGUGAAACUGAAAGAUUACAAACUCGUGGGGGGGGACGACGAGGACCAGGGCACGGCCAAGAGGAUCUGCGGGAGGAGAAAGCGCGCCCGCGGCCCCGAGGCCCGAUGCAAAGACUGCGGCAAAGUCUUCAAGUACAAUCACUUCUUGGCAAUCCACCAGCGGAGUCACACGGGUGAGCGACCUUUCAGGUGUAACGAGUGUGGAAAAGGCUUUGCGCAGAAGCACUCGCUGCAGGUGCACACAAGGAUGCACACGGGCGAGCGACCGUACACCUGCACCGUGUGCAGCAAGGCGCUGACCACCAAGCACUCACUGCUGGAGCACAUGAGCCUGCACUCAGGACAGAAGUCUUUCACCUGUGAUCAGUGUGGAAAAUACUUCAGCCAGAAGCGACAGCUAAAGAGCCAUUACCGAGUUCACACAGGUCACUCAUUGCCGGAAUGCAACCACUGCCACCGCAAAUUCAUGGACGUGUCUCAGCUAAAGAAACACCUGCGAACCCACACAGUACCUUCUUCCUGAUAGCAGUGUACCCGAAAACCAGGCUAGUGAGCAGAAGAUGGCUUGGUGAGCUGGGGCGAGUCGAGGGACUUAGCCCAGGCCACGGAGAAGCCUGGAAAAGCAAGUACCCCACAAGGAAAGCACUGGACAGGAAGGGCUUGGCACAGAAGACCGUGUAGGAAGGGUGGAGAGACAGGAAAGAAUCCGCAGUAACCCUGCUAGUCAUCGAGGAGGAAGGAACGUGUGCUUUCUCGCCUGUCAGGUUGGUGAGCCUGUGCGGAAGUGGGCUUCUCUCUGUGCUGGUGCAGGAAUAUAAUUUGGAACUUUCUGGAAAGAAACUUUGGCGAUGUUUAUCAAAAUGUUGCAGGAUGAUAUGCAUCACAGGCAGGAUUGUUUGUAAUGUCAGAAACUCCAAAACAACCUGAGUGUUCUUUGGUAAGAGACGAGUUCAGUUAAAAAAAUUUUUUUAGACAUUUAUUUAUUUAUUUGCCAGGGUGACAGAGAGAGAGAGAGAUCAAGAUCUUCCAUAUGCUCGUUCACUCCCCAAAUGCCCGUAGGAGCUGGGUCUGGGCCAUGCCAAAGCUAAGAGCCUGGCACUCCAUCUGGGACUCCCACAUACGUGGCAGAGACCCAAGUGCUUGGGCUGUCGUCCACUGGCUUCCCAGGUGCAUUAGAGGAGGGUGGAUCAGAACCAGAAGCAGAAGUAGGACUUUAUCCGAGGCACUGUGAUACAAGAUGCCAGCGCCUCCAGUCGUGGCUUAACCUGCCACGCACAACUCCUGCCCCAUAGAUCAAUUUUGGGCAGUGUGUCCAGCGGGACAUGACUCGGCCUUUUUAAAUGGUGUGUGGCUUUAACUGACACUGGCUGACGUGGUGUGCAUAAAACUAUUCUUGCACGCUUAUGAAAUGUUAACUGCUCACCUCAAGAGAGAAAGUGGAACUUUCUUUGUACUUUUCCGUCAUUUGAUUGUUUUACCCUGAACACGAAUGAUUUGUAAAGAAAAGCAAAGCUGUCGUGUAAACAGGAAAGCAGGACACUUGGGAGGGAGAAAGUAGCAGGUUAAACGUGGAUGUGGAGAGAACUGGAGGCGCCACUGUGUCGUGUCUGGCUGGCGCAGGGGCCAGCAGGCGCUGCCAUUGACCAGUUAUUUUAGGUUUGAGCGGAUGGCGGAGGGACGGCCCAGCUGUGAGGUCCUGGAGCAGGGGUGGGGCGGGCGAGGCUGUGUCAGAAGCAGCCAGGAGUUGCCCCAGCCCUUCUGUGGACAUCCCUGGGUGGAGCCCUGCCGGCCACACCCUGACUUCUGCCCUUUGCUUUAGUCGCCAUUGUGUAAACCUCUUGUAAAACUUCCUUCUGGAGCCAAGAGCUUGUACCUGUCAAGUAAAUAAAUAAAUCCUUAAAAAAAAAAAAACUUCCUUCUGCUCCCAUUGCCGCUCAGGCUCUGCCAUUCACCUUCCAGCCUGUGCAUCUGCCUCCUGGUCCAGGCCCCAGCACGUGGGCGUGGACUGCUGUCACUAUCACUCCCAGGCGUACUUUCCCAACACCCUCCAGGGCCUCCCCGUCUCUGCCCACAGUUCCCGGCUGCCUCCGGCGUGGCCUCACCUCGCGGCUCACCCAUCCCUCACCGUGACUCCUCCGCACUCCUGGUCCAUACCACGUGGCCAUCUCCAGCUCCGACUUUUCAGCCGCACCGUUUAUCCUGGUGCCCUGGUCGAGGCUUCUGUCCGACCUGCCUGAUCCUCUGAUCCUGCUCC